rnacentral:sRNA from 1 species
UGUAAAUUUCAACUAUUUUUGGUAUCUUUUAGGAGUUUACAUGUUCUCUUGGUAGCCAGUGUUGUAGAAAUGGAAAUCAGUCACCAGUUUCGAGCAACGGUCACGUCAGUCCUACAGAUCUCAUCAACGGAGACGGCCUUGACAAACAAAACGGAUAUGAUGUCACGCACGUGCAAGUUUUGGGACCAAAAGUCAGCAACCUUAAGCCACACUUACCAUCUCAGGAGCCAAUCUUCCCCCCAGACCUAAA